rnacentral:rRNA from 1 species
GAUGAACGCUAGCUACAGGCUUAACACAUGCAAGUCGAGGGGCAUCAGGAUGUAGCAAUACAUUGCUGGCGACCGGCGCACGGGUGAGUAACACGUAUCCAACCUGCCUUUUACUAGGGGAUAGCCUUGCGAAAGUAAGAUUAAUACCCGGCGGUCUCGGAUGGCCGCAUGACUGUCCGAGUGAAGAUUUAUCGGUAUGAGAUGGCGAUGCGUCCCAUUAGCUUGUUGGUGGGGUAACGGCUCACCAAGGCAUCGAUGGGUAGGGGUUCUGAGAGGAAGGUCCCCCACAUUGGAACUGAGACACGGUCCAAACUCCUACGGGAGGCAGCAGUGAGGAAUAUUGGUCAAUGGACGCAAGUCUGAACCAGCCAAGUAGCGUGCAGGAUGACGGCCCUCUGGGUUGUAAACUGCUUUUAGUUGGGAAUAAAAAGAGGGACGUGUCCCUUAUUGUAUGUACCAUCAGAAAAAGGACCGGCUAAUUCCGUGCCAGCAGCCGCGGUAAUACGGAAGGUCCAGGCGUUAUCCGGAUUUAUUGGGUUUAAAGGGAGCGCAGGCGGCGGCGUAAGUCAGUUGUGAAAUCGUGCGGCUUAACCGUGCAAUUGCAGUUGAUACUGCGUCGCUUGAGUGCACACAGGGAUGUUGGAAUUCAUGGUGUAGCGGUGAAAUGCUUAGAUAUCAUGAAGAACUCCGAUCGCGAAGGCAUAUGUCCGGAGUGCAACUGACGCUGAGGCUCGAAAGUGUGGGUAUCAAACAGG